UUGGAGGGCAAGUCUGGUGCCAGCAGCCGCGGUAAUUCCAGCUCCAAUAGCGUAUAUUAAAGUUGUUGCAGUUAAAAAGCUCGUAGUUGAAUUUCGGGGUUAGUAGGUUGGUCAUGCCUCUGGUAUGUACUGGUCUCACUGAUUCCUCCUUCCUGAUGAACCUUAAUGCCAUUCAUUUGGUGUUUUGGGGAAUUUGGACUGUUACUUUGAAAAAAUUAGAGUGUUUAAAGCAAGCUAACGCUUGAAUACAUUAGCAUGGAAUAAUGAAAUAGGACGUUCGAUCCUAUUUUGUUGGUUUCUAGGAUUGACGUAAUGAUUAAUAGGGAUAGUUGGGGGCAUUAGUAUUCAAUUGUCAGGGGUGAAAUUCUUGGAUUUAUUGAAGACUAACUACUGCGAAAGCAUUUGCCAAGGAUGUUUUCAUUAAUCAAGAACGAAAGUUAGGGGAUCGAAGACGAUCAGAUACCGUCGUAGUCUUAACCAUAAACUAUGCCGACUAGGGAUCGGAUGAUGUUAAUUUUUUAAUGACUCAUUCGGCGCCUUACGGGAAAC
rnacentral:rRNA from 1 species